rnacentral:rRNA from 1 species
UACGAAGGGGGCUAGCGUUGUUCGGAAUUACUGGGCGUAAAGCGUGCGCAGGCGGCUUCUCAAGUCAGGGGUGAAAGCCCAGAGCUCAACUCUGGAAUUGCCUUUGAGACUGAGUGGCUUGAGUACGAGAGAGGUGAGUGGAAUUCCCAGUGUAGAGGUGAAAUGCGCAGAUAUCGGGAAGAACACCUAUGGCGAAGGCAGCUCUCUGGGACGGUACUGACGCUGAGACGCGAAAGCGUGGGGAGCGAACAGG